UGAGCACCUGUUUAUGCACUGCUGUUGCUAAUGAGACAGAAUCAUGUGAGGAGUGGACAGUCUGCCUUAUAGCCCAUGCUCAGUACAUAUCCUAAUGAGGAAUCGGUCCCUGGCUGUCAUUGUCUCCAUGCACUUGAGUUGGACAAUACUCUGUCCCAAAGAUGUGCCAGGUUCUCUCAUUUCUGACUAUGCCGCUCUCAGCCCAUCUAACCUCAAAUCUAACCUAAUCCUGAUGGCCCUCCCACCUUCCCAGCAUACAGGAGCAAGCAGAGAAAAUGGGCAGUCAAGUCAAAAGGAAAGGACAGCCUACAGACGCUGUUCUGUGAGUACAGUGUCCAAACCAGAAAGUCAAGAUGCCUCUUUGAGGAUCGGUCUGAAAACAAAAUACGUGAAAUCCAGGAGAGCUGGGAUAGACAACGCCGUGAAGGCAUCACGGAGAGCGUCAGGGAGCAGCUGCUGUUUCAACGCAGUGGGGACUUCACACCUGCACCUGAGGGAGCAUUCACUGAAUUUAUGUUCAUAUAUGUUCAUAUAUUAUGAUAAUAAAUAUGUUCAUAUACUUAUGUUCAAAA